rnacentral:lncRNA from 1 species
CUAAAUCUCUUUUGUCUUCUACAUUGCUUAGCACAGGACUGAACACUUAGAAGAUGCUAAAAAAUUCCUGUUGCUUAAUUUAGCAAGUAUUUUAACUUUCCAAAUUUCAAUGGAGUUUGAAUGACUGAAAACCAGAAUCCCCAGCAAUGUUCUCUUUACAAUAUAAGCAAUGGUUUCUCUUUACAGUGAGCCCUAUAAAUCCUUGUAAUUCACCUCCUUUGGCCAAACAUCCCAAUGUCCUUGACUGUGGAUAGAAGCCCGGGUCUUUUGGGACCUAGGAUCAGGCCUUUCUCCAGUCAGGCAAACAAUCUGAAAAGAAAAAGAAAUCACACGUAGUCCAGCGCAUUUUUCUCCUGUGUGGCUUCUCCACCAGCUAGAGAGAUAUUUAAAGGCUCUGAACCUCUUGCAGUCUCUGAUUCUGAGUCAUUUUAUUUUCAGAGAACUAUCUAUUUUUCUUAGUUAUACAGCCAGACUGCAUCACGUGGCCAGAAAAUCAUUUUCCCUUUAAAAAAAAUACUAGAGUUUGAAUGCAGGUAUUGAAUUAGUAACAGAUUUAUCAUAGUGUAAUCCCCUGGGCAUUACAAUUUGUGGCUGAAAGUUGACUGAAAAGGGGCCCAUAAGUUAACCUACAAAGACUAGAGGGUCUAGAGUCACUGUUUUUUAAAAUAUUUUUUUCAGAUAAAAGAGGAUUAACGGCCUGAAAUCCUCCAGUCUCCAGGACCACGGUGCAGUCCCUCCGCGGGGCUUUGCGCUGGAGGCUGCAGCUCCUGUGAUCUCGAGAAGGACUGGCCCAGAUACUCUAGUCACCUGGAAGGCGGAAGGAUCAAAAAGCCAGUCAAUCUUCACAAGGAUGAGCGCUGUCAUCAGGAAGAGCACGUGCAGAUGGAACGGAAAUUACGGCAGAACGUGGUGCGCACACAGCGAGCUUCACCCACCGACGACCCUCUGAGAUCAACUCCUAUUAGCAACAGGUCAGACCCCUGCUGGCAGCCGGAAGCGGAAGGCUACGGUGUUUGCUAAGGGAGACAGGACGGAAAGGACGCGAAAUAAAGAGGCCACCUUUUGGGAUGAAACCUUCA